rnacentral:lncRNA from 1 species
GGGUUCUAGAUUUAGGGUGUGGGUUCCCUGGGAUUUCAGCUAGGUCUUUGGGAAGAGAGAAAAAGAGAGUAGAGAGUGUCUCCUCUUCAUCAUCUUCUUCCAUCUCAUCAUCCUUCAAAACAUCCUUCUGUUGGAAUUUCAUCAAGGAGCAUGCAUGUAUAUUUUAAAUUUUUUUUCUAAACAAUGCAGCAGAAUAGAAGAUUAAAAUAUCUUUUAAUCCACA